CUGAUGGGAGUGAAUUCUGUCCAGAAGUACUUAGCUUGGCUGCAGUGCUAAGUGUUCUACGUGCAAAAGAAAUGUUUUUUUUUCUUGUGUUCUGGUCCUCUAGUUUAAGCAGGAUAUAAUUUAGGAAACUUUUUGACAGCUGAUAUGCCAAAGCUUGCAGCUCCUUGACAGGGCAGCGAGAGGAGCUGUGCAGCCUUCUGGUUAUAGAGGCAGUUCUGUCCCCACUGUGCUCCACUCCUUUUUACCCACGGUGUGGGAAAAACACGAGCACCUACAUAGGGAGGACCAUCUAUCCUUCCGUUGGCUUUAAGAGAUUGAUGUUCUCUCGUUCGUAACUGCUGCUGUUUAAGAAGUUGCUUUUUCUUGGCCUCUCUUGGAAAGAUGAUGGAAGAACGCUUUGACCAGGUCUUUUGCACAGAAUACCUGGUUUGAUUGCUCAGUGCUUAAUUGCCGAAGACUUAGUAUGAGGAAAUGAAGUGGUACGAUGACAAAUGUCUGGGUAGACAUCUUGUUCUCCUUCCUGAAUAGGUAGGGCAUUUAAUCAGCUGGCAAGCCACCAGAGCAAAGUACUGUGCAGCUGUUGGCCUCUGGGGUUUCCAGAAAGAUGUUGUGAUUUAUCUGCAUAUUGAUCAGUUUUGAACAUAAAUAAAACUUGUCUGCUGAUCUGACAGGAGCUGGUUUCAGGGGUGGCAGGGAGAGUUUGCCCUUCUGAAUGGGUGUAUGUGAUGUUGCUCAACCAUUGUGGCUUGCUAAAACUACACAGUUCUGUUCACUGCAUGCUGUUUCAAUGUAAUGAGCCCAGUCUAUCCCUCCAAGCAUUUACAGUCACUUCAAUUGUGUUUGUGGCUGGGAAGGAAGAAAAAAACACACUUCAUGAACAACGAUUUUGCUUUUAGUUAGAAGUUUGAUGGGGCAGGGAGGCUUGGUUGAAACUAACACUCAGAGCCUAAGUUUUGUCUGAAUCGAUACAGGCAAGCAACACCGGUGAUUCGAAGUGCUCAGGAGAUCUUUUCUUCUCCAGUCCCUGGCAAAAUUUCUUGUUGACCAAAUCCAGGAUGAUGGUCAUGCUAUUUUCUCAUCAAGAGACUGGUAAUCAAAAACAAGUUGCAACAAUUAUUUUUUGGAAGCCGGCUAGUAAGAAGUGGCAACACAAUGUGUUCGAAGGUUAAAUUUAUGUUUUAUUGUUGUUUUUUUUUUUAAACAAAAAUUAACAGCUAAAAACAUUUUUUAGUUAAAACUUCAUUCCUGAGAAUGCUACUUUACAGUAGAGGUAAAUAAUUGUUCAGAAGCUUAAUGUGG
ensembl:lncRNA